rnacentral:rRNA from 1 species
UUCGGGGUGCCCAGGCGCGAAAACUUUACAAUGCCGGCAACGGCGAUAAGGGGACCUCGAGUGCCAGGUUACAAAUCUGGCUGUCGAGAUGCCUAAAAAGCAUUUCAUAGCAAGGGCCGGGCAAGACCGGUGCCAGCCGCCGCGGUAACACCGGCGGCUCGAGUGGUAACCGUUAUUAUUGGGUCUAAAGGGUCUGUAGCCGGCCGGAUAAGUCUCUUGGGAAAUCCAGCAGCUCAACUGUUGGGCUUUCAGGAGAUACUGUCUGGCUCGAGGCCGGGAGAGGUGAGAGGUACUUCAGGGGUAGGGGUGAAAUCUUGUAAUCCUUGAAGGACCACCAGUGGCGAAGGCGUCUCACCAGAACGGACCUGACGGCAAGGGACGAAAGCUAGGGGCACGAACCGGAUUAGAUACCCGGGUAGUCCUAGCCGUAAACGAUACUCGCUAGGUGUCGGCCACGGUGCGACCGUUGUCGGUGCCGUAGGGAAGCCGUGAAGCGAGCCACCUGGGAAGUACGGCCGCAAGGCUGAAACUUAAAGGAAUUGGCGGGGGAGCAC